rnacentral:rRNA from 1 species
UUUACCUACGGGAGGCAGCAGUGGGGAAUAUUGGGCAAUGGGCGCAAGCCUGACCCAGCAACGCCGCGUGAAGGAAGAAGGCCCUCGGGUUGUAAACUUCUUUUAUUCGGGACGAAACAAAUGACGGUACCGAAUGAAUAAGCCACGGCUAACUACGUGCCAGCAGCCGCGGUAAUACGUAGGUGGCGAGCGUUAUCCGGAUUUACUGGGUGUAAAGGGCGUGUAGGCGGGAAUGCAAGUCAGAUGUGAAAACUAUGGGCUCAACCCAUAGCCUGCAUUUGAAACUGUAUUUCUUGAGUGCUGGG